GGCCUCUUGAGUAUAAUUUAAGGUCUGACCUGCCCACUGAGGGAUUAAAUGGCCGCGGUAUUUUGACCGUGCAAAGGUAGCAUAAUCACUAGUUUUUUAAUUGAAAGCUUGAAUGAAAGGUUUGAUGAGGAAGAUUCUGUCUCUGUGAAAUUUUAUUAGAAUUUUAUUUUUAAGUUAAAAAGCUUAAAUUUAAAUGGAAGACGAGAAGACCCUAUAGAGUUUUAUAGUUAAGCGGAGUAGAAAUAGCUGGAGGAAUUUAAAAUAUUGGUUUUGUUUAAGUAUUUUAUUGGGGUGAUAGAAAAAUUGAUUGAACUUUUUUUUUACAAAAACAUUGAUUUGUGGAUAAAUGAUCCUAAAAUUUAGAUUAAAAGAUUAAAUUACCUUAGGGAUAACAGCGUAAUUUUUUUUAGAGUUCUUAUCGAAGAAAAAGAUUGCGACCUCGAUGUUGGAUUAAAAUUAAUUGUUGGUGUAGGAGCUAAUAUAUUAGGUCUGUUCGACCUUUAAAAUUUUACAUGAUCUGAGUUUAGACCGGCGUGAG
rnacentral:rRNA from 1 species